GGCCAAGCAAGGGAACAAAGAGAAAAAGAUAAGAACAAACCGUAGGAAGGAAAAAUUCAAGAGAAAUUGUUGGAUUUCAAGGAAUCAAGCAAGUAAAGGUAAUAUUUUUUUAAUUUUAGCUUGUGAUCUACCUUUCCCAUGCAUUCUUUUUCAUUCUCCAUGGCUGAAAUUCAAGUUUUCAAGAGGAAACCUUUGCUGGCCAAAUCUAGAGAGAGAAGUUUUGGUGAUUAAUUUUGCUAGAUUUCAUAAUAUCCUAGUGUUUUUAAUCAUUUUGUGAUGUUUGGAAAGAAAAACAAGCAAGAAAAUCACAUUUUCUUCAAUAACCCUCAUUUGGCUGAAUUUUCUAUAGGGCAUGUUGAUGAUGGAUUUGGUUGUAAUUCAUGCUAUUUAGCUAGGAAUUGAUGAAUUAUGAUGUUGGAUAUCGAAAUCGGAAUGAAUUUCGGUUACGGUGAAUUAAGUCACAAUUAAGCUCAUUAAGGUACUUUGAUGUUUUGGAAUAUUGGAAGUGUAAUGAAGAUAUAUGGAGUUGAAUUGGAUGUUUUUGCUAAUUAAACAAGGCAUAGUACGAGUUAGGUCGAAUGCCAAUUCAAUUUGAUCAUAAUUGAACCCACGUAGAACACAGUCUUUAAGUGAUUAUUCGGACAAUUCUCAUUCAAUGUCAUGCAUUCAUAUAGAGCCUGAAAUAGUUUUAUAAUAGUUUGGCACAAAUAUAUUGAAUUACGUGUCAUGUAUUAUGUAUAGGUGGUGAGCACUUUGAUAAGGGUAAAGAUAUUGUGCCCGAGGACCAAGAAUAGGAGUACUCCAAACUCAUGCUAUUGUGAGUAAUCAGACUUUCAUCUUAACUAUCUAAAGUAGUUUAUACUCGUUUUUAUGUUUUAAAGAAAAAUGAAUUUAAAUUGUAAACUAUUACGUUUUAUCAUUGAAGUGUUGAUUAAACGAAAUGAGAUUUAUAACUUGUUUUGAAAUUGAAUAAUGGUUUUGGAAAUUGAGUAAGUGGAGACUGUAUAUUUGUGUUAUAUAUAUGUUUUGACAUAUGGUUUGAAUUGGUGGCUUAUGAAAAUGUUAUGGCAAGCAUGGCUAGAAUUGUGUUUGUGUGGAAUAUAUGAACUGUUUUGCUUUGCCUUGACAAGCUGGUAGUAUUAUAUUAGCCAUGUCAUGCUGUCGAAAAUUUUAUUGAAUUUGUGGGUUAUUUGAUUGGCUUAUUGCAGUGGGUGAGUUUCUGUGGACCAGCCUAUUAGAGGGGCACGGUAAAUCUUGUUAUAUUUACCUUAGUUCGUGAGGUGCAGAGGGUAUCUCCUAAGGUAAAGUUAGAGUUCACCUCACACCGAACCACCACAUGAGGGUGAAACUUAGCCAACGCGAAGGAACGACUGUGCUUUUAAAUGUAAAAAUGAGUUUUAUACUUAUAUGUUAUUUUAAUAGCCUUGGCGGACUCGGUUGGAUGCCCGACGCAAGGUGUCACCUAGUGCAAGUUUUGGCACGAGCCAAGUUUUAAGAGAAUCAUAAACCUUGUUGAUUUUGAUGAAAUGAAAUUGAUUUACAUGGGUUGAAAUGAGAUUUGAUGUUAUGAAUCAUAUUAUGAUGAGAUGUUUUAAAUUGUCUCCAUUUACUCGGCUUUAGAUAUUAUAGAUAAAAUUUGCUUACUCACUGGGUUUAUAAAAACUCACCACUUCUUUUCACCCAUUUCAGGCUCAAGGCAAUCUAUAGACCGCUGAUUAUGUUGACGGUUUGCUUUUGGGUUUGCACCCUUAGAAAUCGCAAGUCUAUAGUCUUGCACAUAUAUGUUUAUUUUGGGGGCCCACAUGUCAUUGUAGAAUGUUUUGUAUACUUGGCUGCGUGUGCCACUGUAUGUAUGAAUUUAUUUUGCUUUUACGCUACAAAAAUUAUUUACGCAGAGUUCUAUAAAUAUUAUUUUAUAAGAAAAUGAAAUAUUUUAUUUAAUAUUUUUAUUUAAUUUGAAUAGCUAUAAUUUCACUUCAAAUUGAUGAAUUAGACAACGAAACUUAUUUUUAGACAUGAAAUGGAUGCUUAUUACUCGUAUAUCAUAUUUUUUCCAGGGUUUGAAAAUUUUGGAUAAAAUAACCAAAAUACCCCAGUAUAGCAAAAAUUACUUUUUGAUUAUUUUUGAUUUGAAAUUGGUCUAUAUUUCUUAAAAACGUGGUAUUUAAUAGUUGUUGCUCACAGAGGAGAAGUAAAACUGAUGCAAAAGCCUUGCGAGGUUUCGGUUGGCAUUCCGGGUAAUGGAUGUCAAUUGAAACAUCGCAGCGAUUAUCACGGGCUCGAUGGGAAUUCCGGGUUGUGAUAAUUAAAGUGGUCUAAGAGCUUUUGGUUUUAAAGUUAUUUAAAAACUACAGUGUUAGUGUGACCCCAAGUUAGGUUAGAUUGAGUUGAAUGCAUGCAUCUGCAUAUAAUACUUGAAGUGGUCUAAACUUGUUCUUGUUCUUCUUAUAAAUUAUUAUGCCUCCUCGAAGUGGACUCCCACCUCUCGCUAGAUUAGUUGGGAGAGGAAGAGGCACGAGUCCAACCUAGUGUAGUGACAAGUACCAUGUUUGUAUUUGACAGAGAUGCUUAUGUCUUAAUUGAUUCUGGUUCGGAUAGAUCCUAUGUAAGCACGACAUUUGCAUCCUUUUUUGAUAUAAACCUGUCACCUUUAGAGAAGAAAUUAUAGUUUAUACCCCUCUAAGAGAGUAGUUGGUUAGAAACACCUGUUAUAGAGAUUGUGGAAUAAGAGUUGGUGAGGAAGAUUUAAGGCUGACUUAAUUCCCUUAUAAAUUCAGGAUUUUGAUUUGAUAUUGGGUAUGGAUUGGUUGACUGCACAUCGGACGAAUGUAAAUUGUUUCAGGAAGGAAGUUGUACUUCAGAAUUCUGAAGAAGUAGAAGUUGUACUUGCAGGGGAACGUCGAGUAUUACCAUCCUCUGUAAUCUUGGCUAUCAAAGCUUUGAAACUAGUGCAGAAAGGGUAUCCGGCUUAUUUAGCACAUGUGAUUGAUACAUCAAAGGGGGAACCUAAGUUAGAGGAUGUCCCAAUAGUAAAUGAGUUCUUUGAUGUAUUUUUGAGUGAAUUACCGGGACUACCUCCUGAUCGAGAACUCAAAUUCUUUAUUGAUCUACUCUAAGGAUGGGCUUGAAUUUUGCUAUGCUUAGUGUGGAGCCAAAGGAUUAAAGGACUAGAUAUGGAUUUAGUAGUUUGAAAUUAAAUGACUUGAAAAUGUUGAUUCUAGUCUAAAUGCCAUAUGGAGAUUUAUAUUGGGGCUUGAUAUACAAAUUAUUGUAAGGAUCAAUUUAAAAGUUUACUUGGAUUAGUUGCAAACUAUGGUGCAAAUGAUUAGUCUUAAAUUUAAUUUCUUCAAAGGUAACGGAUUCAGAAAAUGUUGAUUUUCGGAUAUGCUCUAAGAGGAAGUUUCUACAUCCUAAGCUUAAGAAACUUUGAUCUUAUGACCGUAAAGGCGAGAUGCAAUAAUUAAGUAAAUUAUUCAUUUUCUAAAUGUAAUUGGUUAAAAACUGGAGAGUAAAGUCAAGAUCUCGACGAUAAAUGGUGUACAAUUUGAGAUAUGUCGAAAUUGAGGAAAGUAAGAAGGGAUUCUUACUCGUGGUAAUGGAUGUUGACAAGUGUUAAAGAAUGAGAUGAAUAUGAAAAUAUUGGCUUGGUCUAUUAUAUGUGAUAAGCACAAGAUAAUAUAAUGGUUAUGGAAAUUGCGACGUAAGCUUGGAGGAAAACCAAACAGUUGAGGAUGAUUAAUAUAGUAACCUUCAAUUUAGACGAAUAACGUUGAUUAAGUAAACUUCAGUAGCCACCGUGUCACCGCGCUAGAAACACCUCAUAUCUGAGACGUAGGAAUAAGAGGUGAAAGACCGAAAGUUGAACUUACAAGUUGAAUUAAGGUUAUUGGACUUGAUGUUAAGCUUCGUUAAUUAGAGUUUUAAGGUUUUGGAAGGUAUUGGUAUGAAUAAAUUAAAAAGUUUCUUCGUUGAUUUAUAUAUUGGCAAUGUAUAAGAGUUUUGAAACGAAUAGACCAAACUGCAAGUGUCAAGAAUAAUGGUUAGCAGUGCUUUAAAAUAUUUUAUAUAUAUGAUAAGGAAAUGUGGAACUUGGAAUUGGCAAGGAGCUUAAUGGUUAAAGCAUAAGUUAUGAAGUCGCUCGAUGUGAGGUUGAAAUUAGAUAUUGGCGAUGAUGUCGAGGGAUACCUAAGUAAAAUCCAUAUUAAGUUUGUAAAUAGCAAAGUUGAUUGUGCAGACGCUAAAGAGAAUGUAUGGGUAUAUUGGUGUAAAGGAAUAGUACAAGAUGAUUAAAGGUAAUCCUGAUAAUAAAGUUGGUUAACGAAAAUAUCCUAACGUGGGAAACUAGUAUUCAAAAUGUAAGAAGUGCACACGACUUCAAUGAAUUUAAAUCUUAAGUUACUAACUAAUAUGGAAAUGAAUAAGGACGUAUAUGAUGGAAGUGUACAAGGUAAAUGAGAAACGAAAAUGACUUUUAGGAAUUGUGAUAUUGCAUAAGAUGCAAGGAUGAAUUAAAGAAAACCUCUAAAGGAUCAGUAAGAUCGUAAAGCAUAUGUGAAUACCGGAUUGUGAUUGGAUGGAAAUGAUAUUAAUGAUUGAAAUGUGGUUAAUCACAUUGUGAUGCAAGGAUGCAUCGUAUGAUGCAGCUUAUACAUAGGAUUGGAAAUGAUAAGAAAAGAGUAUAGGUAUGUAAAUUAUGUGAAGUUAUGUAUAGGCACAAUGAGAAUCCGUAUGGAUUACAUAAGAAACAAUUUAUGGUAGGAUGUAAAUUAAAUGGUAACUCAAACAUCCAAAAGGGUAAUUUGGAGUUGAUUAUACCCUAAUAUUCAUGGAUUAAACUUGACCUAUGGAAAAAGAAAAAAGGGAAACAUCUGCUAUGAGAAUAUGAUAUUGAACCUUAGUUAUGGAUUAGAAUGAAUAGAGGGAAUUUAGUUCGAAUGUAGUGGACGAGGAUCUUUACAGAUAGUGAUGGAUGGUGGCACUUAAAUGUAUAUUGACAUACAUAUAUAUAUAUAUAUAUAUGGAGAUGAUUACGUGAUCAACUAAAGUGAAGAAUUAUUCAUGGUGAUUUAAGUUUUGAAUUCGACGUGUUUAAUGAGUUGUAUAGAUGAUACGAUAAUGAAAGUUACUAAUGGUCGGGUAUGAAACGAGACAUAGCCGAGUUUGUGACGAAAUGUCUCACAUGCCAACAGAUCAAGGCGAAACAUCAGAAACUAUCGGGUACUCUUCAACCUCUACCUAUCCCUGAAUGGAAGUGGGAGCACGUGACUAUGGACUUUAUAUUGGGUUUACCGAGGACCUAAAAUGGGAACGAUGCAAUUUAGGUGAUUGUGGAUAGAUUGACUAAGUCCGUCCAUUUCUUGGCUAUCCAUAGCAUGUAUUCCAUUGAGAGACUAGCUAAGCUUUAUAUAGAUGAGAUAGUGAGAUUACAUGGAGUCCCAGUUUCUAUCAUGUCAGAUCGAGACCCUCGAUUCACUUCUCGAUUUUGGCCAAAAUUCUAGGAUGCUCUCAGAACUAAUUUGAGGUGUAGCACUACCUUUCAUCCACAAAUAGAUGGUCAGUCUGAAAGGACCAUUCAAACUUUGGAAGAUAUGCUAUGGGCUUGUGUAAUUGACUUUACGAGGAGUUGGGAUAGACACUUGCCAUUGGUGGAGUUUGUGUAUAACAACAGUUUUUGGUCUAGUCUUGGGAUGGCACCAUACGAGGCCUCUGAAUGGGAAAAAGUGUCAAACUCCACUCUAUUGGGAUGAAGUGGGUGAGAGGAAAUUGUUUAAUGUAGAACUGAUUGAUUUGACUAAUGACAAGAUCAAGGUUAUUCAAUAACAAUUAAAGACAGCUCAAGACAAGCAGAAAAGUUACUUUGAUAGAUGGAGAAAAGAUCUAGAAUUUGAAGUUGAUGAUGGAGUUUUUCUUAAGAUUUCUCCUUGGAAAGGUAAUGAUUUGAAUAUUUUGAGGUAUUAAGUCUUAUUUGAUUAUACUAUUGUGGUAAAUUGUGGUAUCUUGUUGGACAAUGAAAGGUGUGAUUCGGUUUACAAAUCGGGGAAAGCUCAAUCUGAGAUACAUUAGACCCUUUCUAUCAUUGAAAGGAUUGGGCCAGUGACAUAUAGACUAGAAUUACCCCUGGAGUUGGAUCGGAUUCACAAUGUCUUCCACACCUAGAUACUGAAGAAGUAUGUACUUGAUCCCUCUCAUAUCCUUGAGGCACCUCCGAUUGAGUUAUAGGAAAAUUUGAAGUUCGAGGUGCAACCUGUAUGUAUUUUAGACCGAAAGGAUCGAGUGUUAAAGAAUACGAACAUUCCAAUGGUUAAGGUGUAAUGGAAAAAUGCUCCGAUGGAGGAGAUGACGUGGGAAGUUAAGCACCAAAUGAGAAACCAAUACCGCAUCUUUUCUCUAAGUCCGGUAAGUGAAACUUUAAGGUCAAAAUUUUACUUUAAGGGGGUUAAUGCUGUCAAGCCCUACUCUAUUAUAUACUUGUCAUGUCAUUCAUGUGCUUGAUAGAAUGUUUGCAUAAGUGAAUGUAUCAAAAAAUCAUUAAAAGUCGGUAUUAUACCUAGUGGUACAAUUAAGUUGAUUAAAGCCUCGAACUAGGCCAAAUAAAGAUUUUACGAUGUAUAUGAGAGUUAUUGAAUUUUAGAAUGUCUUAAUAUGAUGAUUUGAAAUUCAAGGAUUGAUUUAGAGUUAAUUCUAGAAUUUUCAUAACGUAGGGGCAAAAUGGUCAUUUUGCCACUAAAGGGCAAAAUUGGAAUGUUGGACACGAUUUUUGACCAAUUUUGACUAUUUGGAGCAUAAUUUGAAAUUAUGGAGUGAAAAAUUUCAAUUCUGACAUUUUUUGAGUGUAAGGGCAAAACAGUCAUUUCACGUGUCCAUGAAGACGUAAUUGAAUUUUACACCAUUAUGACACUUGUCAAGCCCAUGAAUUUCACCUAUUAUCACUUUAUACUUUGGAUAAUUAUAGGAUUACAUGUUGUGGUGAGAAAUUACUUCAUGGUUAAGCUUUCAAUCAUGGAGCAAUCAAGUGGUGACAUGUGUCAAGCUUUAAUAUUUUUAUGAUUUUCCUUUAUAAACUGACUUAAGCUUCUCUCAUUUCACUCUUAUGGCCUGCCAAGCAAGGGAACAAAGAGAAAAAGAGAAGAACAAACCCUAGGAAGGAAAAAUUCAAGAGAAAUUGUUGGAUUUCAAGGAAUCAAGCAAGUAAAGGUAAGAUUUUUUUAAUUUUAACUUGUGAUCUACCUUUCCCAUCCAUUCUUUUUCACUCUCCAUGGUUGAAAUUCAAGUUUUCAAAAGGGAACUUUUGCUGGCCAAAUCUAGAGAGAGAAGUUUUGGUGAUGAAUUUUGCUAGAUUUCAUAAUAUCCUAGUGUUUUUAGUCAUUUUGUGAUGUUUGGAAGGAAAAACAAGCAAGAAAAUCACAUUUUCUUCAAUAACCCUUAUAUGGCUGAAUUUUCUAUAGGGCAUGUUGAUGAUGGAUUUGGUUGUAAUUCAUGCUAUUUAGCUAGGAAUUGAUGAAUUUUGAUGUUGGAUAUCGAAAUCGGAAUGAAUUUCGGUUACGAUGAAUUAAGUCACAAUUAAGCUCAUUGAGGUACUUUGGUGUAUUUGGAAUAUUGGAAGUGUAAUAAAGAUAUAUGGAGUUGAAUGGAUAUUUUGGCUAAUUAAACAAGGCAUAGUACGAGUUAGGUCGAAUGCCAAUUCAAUCCGAUCAUAAUUGAACCCACGUAGAACAUAGUCUUUAAGUGAUUACUCGGACAAUUCUCAUUCAAUGUCAUGCAUUCAUAUAAAGCCUGAAAUAGUUUUAUAACAGUUUGGCACAAAUAUAUUGAAUUACGUGUCAUGUAUUAUGUAUAGGUGGUGAGCCCUUUGAUAAGGGUAAAGAUAUUGUACCCGAGGACCAAGAAUAGGAGUACUCUAAACUCCUACUAUUGUGUGUAAUCAGACUUUCAUCUUAACUAUCUAAAGUAGUAUAUACUCGUUUUUAUGUUUUAAAGAAAAAAUGAAUUUAAAUUGCAAACUAUUAUGUUUUAUAACUGAAGUGUUGAUUAAUUGAAAUGAGAUUUAUAAUUUGUUUUGAAAUUGAAUACUGGUUUUGGAAAUUGAGUAAGUGGAGACUGUAUACUUGUGUUAUAUAUAUGUUUUGACAUAUUGUUUGAAUUGAUGGCUUAUGACAAUGUGAUGGCAAGCAUGGUUGGAUUUGUGUUUGUGUGGAAUAUAUGAACUGUUUUGCUUUGCCUUGACAGGCUGGUAAUAUUAUAUUAGCCAUGUCAUGCUGUUGAAAAUUUUAUUGAAUUGGUGGGUUAGUUGAUUAGCUUACUGCAGUGGGCGGGUUUUUGUGGACUAGCCUAUUAGAGGGGCACGGUAAACCCUGUUAUAUUUGCCUUAGUUCGAGAGGUGCGGAGGGUAUCUCCUAAGGUAAAGUAAGAGUUCACCUCAAGCCGAACCACCACGUGAGGGUGAAACUUAGCCAACACCAAGGAACGACUAUGCUUUUAAAUGUAAAAAUCAGUUUUAUGCUUAUAUGUUAUUUUAACAGCCUUGGCAGACUCGGUUGGAUGCCCGACGUAAGGUGUCACCGAGUGCAAGUUUUUGGUACGAGUCAAGUUUUAAGAGAAUCAUAAGCCUUGUUGACUUCGAUGAAAUGAAAUUGAUUUACAUGGGUUGAAAUGAGAUUUGAUGUUAUGAAUCAUAUUAUGAUGAGAUGUUUUAAAUUGUCUCUAUUUACUAGGCUUUAGAUGUUAUAGAUGAAAUUUACUUACUCAUUGGGUUUAUAAAAACUCACCCCUUCUUUUCACCUAUUUCAGGCUCAGGGCAGUCUGUAGACCGCUGAUUAUGUCGAGGGUUUGCUUUUGGGUUUCCACCUUUAAAAAUCGCAGGUCUAUAGUCUUGUACAUAUAUGUUUAUUUUUGGGGCCCACAUGUCAUUGUAGAAUAUUUUGUAUACUUGGCUGCGUGUGCCACUGUAUGUAUGAAUUUAUUUUGCUUUUACACUACAAAAAUUAUUUACGCAGAGUUCUAUAAAUAUUAUUUUAUAAGAAAAUGGAAUAUUUUAUUUAAUGUUUUUAUUUAAUUUGAAUAGUUAUAGUUUCACUUUAAAUUGAUGAAUUAGACAACAAAACUUAUUUUAGACAUGAAAUGGAUGCUUAUUACUUGUAUAUCAUAUUUUUACCAAGGUUCGAAAAUUUUGGAUAAAAUGACCAAAAUACCCCUAUGUAGUAGAAAUUACUUUUUGAUUAUUUUUUAUUUGAAAUUUGUCUAUAUUUCUUUAAAUCAUGGUAUUUAAUAACUGUUGCUCAUAGGGGAGAAGUAAAACUGAUGCGAAAGCCUUGCGAGGUUUCGGUUGGCAUUCCGGGUAAUG
rnacentral:lncRNA from 1 species